ACAUAGGAGAUGGCCUUCCUGUAAUUCAGAACUUUCUGGAUAAAAGGUUUCCAGAUAAUGGAUCCUACACCUGUACCAGUGUGGUAAGCAGAGAGACUUGGCAGUUCCCAAAAUUCUUCACUUUUGAAUGCACCAAAGUGAGGGAUUUAUUUUAGGCAAUUCAGAUAGUAUUUGUGUACCUUUUCUACAGAAGCCUGACUGAAUAAGCUUAUAUCAAACAGGGAGGGGUUGGGGUUAUAUUUGUGGGUGCAGACCCAUAGGCAUCAGUAUGAUGUUAAUAAAAAUUGUAGCAGGCUGGAGGUGUUAUGGUGCAGUAUUCUAAACCUAGCAGAAACCCUAGAAACCACAGCAGGGAACUUACAUUCAGAGCACUCGUCACUCUUAAAUCUUAAAUACUGCCGGUUUGGGAGUUUUUUGGUUUUUGAUUGAAAAUGGUUAGGGUUCAUAUGAGAGCAAGGUUCUGACAUUUUGUGAGGAUCUCGAAUUUUAUCAAAUUCCAAACCAGUUGCUUGCUUCAGCCAUUUCAAUAUGUAUUGGUGUCUUGUUUUACUGCACCUGAUUGUCCAAUAUAAGUGUCAGCAAGUUCCCCAUCUACUCAGCUAAUGCCCUUAACUGACAUAUCCAAUAUGGAAGGUUGGUUCCCUCCCAGCUGGCUCUUAAUACUGAAAUUAAAAGAAAUCUAAAUGUACUAGUGGCAUACUUAUUUUUAUCCUUAUAUUUAAUUAAAAUUUGGGCGAAAUACAAAAUAGUUUCCAGGUAACAAAAGAAUCAGUAUAAAAUCUGCCAUUAUUUAUUGUGUGUUUUUUACUUCUCUGUGUACUUGAAGGUAGUCAGGCCCUUCAUUUCCCAAGCUUUUCCAGGUGUUCCUGCUCCCAAACCAACAGCUUUCUGUUAGCACUUAGGCACGACUAUCAAAAACAUUGUGUCUACACCAAGCGUUUACGACCAAAAUAGAACCAAUAUCCAAUAAUUAUUAAUAUGUUUUUCUGGUAUAUAAAUGCCAUUUACAGCUCUGGCCAGCUAGGACCCUAGUGACUUCAUACUAUGACCCUUUGCUGUUGGGCCAUGAUUCCAGUGUUUCAUUUAAGUCUCGUAAGGUUAACUGUGGUAAAUUUUGGACUUUUUAGCUCCAUAAAUUUCGGUUACUAUAAAGUAUGGCAGGCAAAAUCUCUCUCCCAUUGCCCUAAAACUGCAGACUGAACCAGAAGUACCAUCACUGAAUCUUUGGAGAAUCAGAUUAAAUGGAAAAUAAUGUUAUUAAAAAUAAAAACUGAAAUCUUCUGCGUGCAUAUUUGAUCUGAAUGCUUUUGUAAAGACGCACAGAGCACAUAACACUUGCAUUACUAUGUUUUGGAAUGCCAUUAUAUCCACUGCACUUCAAAGUAAUAACACCUUUCCUUUCCUUCCCCGAUCUGAACCCUGCGAUUCAGGCAAAAAUGCCUCACUGACGUAGCGUCUUGGGUGACUGCUCAAUGCCUAAAACGGAACAUUUCCAAGAAGGAACUGCUUAAAUUUCCACCUAAACCUAAUCCCCUCCCUUCAUUUAACAUCACAAUUGACAAUAUCACCUUGCAUCUAGUGUUCCAAGGCAGGUUUCUGGGUGUCACCUUAGACACUUCUCUUACCUCCAGUCCACAUUGCAUCCCUCACCAAAGUAUGCCGCUUCCUUAUAAGAAACACUGCAAAAAAGGUCUCUUCUGCCACUCUGCUGCUUUAACACUGGCCCAGGCCCUCUUCAGGAUAGACUAGUGUGACAUAUUACUAGUUGGUAUUACUAGCUGCUCUUGCAGAAUCUCAUUUCCAACCACUGCAAGUCACCCUACUGCUCUUGUCAUUUUACUGGCAUCUAAUCAUUCUCGACCACCUUGCUACUAAAAUCUCUCUCCUGUCUCUCUACAUAAAACCUCACUCUAUCACCUUUCAUCAGUAAAGCCUCCACACUAACAUUUUUCUCAAAGCUCCCUUAAAAUCACCUUUUUGACAAUACAUUUAGCUAGUCUUCCGCUGCAGUAACACACCCUUGAUCUAUGCACUUCCCCCCUGGAUUGUAAGCUCUUUCAAAUUGUGUAUUAAAGUAACCUAAGCAUAAGCAUUGAUAUAUGUAUUCUCAGUAUCUAAUAUAUAAUAACUUUACCACUGUUUGUGAUUAUGCUUAUGAAGCACUGCAUCUGUGGUGCUAUAUAAAUAAAUACAUACAAACAUACAUACCCUUAAAGAAUAAUUAACCUUUUUUAAUCUCUAAAAUUACUCUGUACAUCUUCAAGAAUAACUUCUUUCUUCCUGCUUUCAGGUUUUUGUUUCUCUAUUACAGCCAGUUCAGCUACAGCUCUUUUAGUUACUUCCUUGUAUAGGGUGAAGCCCUGCACCUUUUGCUUUCUGAGCACUCCUCUCUCCAACUAUGAUGACCUCAAACAGGUGCCUACUACGCAUGACUGGUUGAUUUUAAUUGGAGCAGAGGCAGUGAGCAUGCCAAGUAGGCACGUCAUAGUCAGAGAGAUUAAGGAGUGCUCAGAAUGCAAAAGGUGGCAGAGCUUUAUUCUAGCACAGGAAGUCAAUAAAAGAGCUGCAGUUCAGCUGCUUAUAAUAGAGAAACAAAAUGAAUCUACAUGCCAGGAGAAAGGUAUGUUAUUCUGAGUAAUUUUAGGGGAUUUAAAAUAAAAGACUUACUUAUCCUUUAACGUUUGAGACCAUAGUGGCUGCUAGUGUAUGCAAGAGCAUAGAUGACCCAAUGUGAGCCUUGCUUGGAGUCCAAUUUCAUUAGACCUGUACUAUUUCAUUGUACCACUGCUAAGCAGAUGAUUUUGCCUCAAAGUUUUGGGUGUAGCAAAUAGAUUUUGCAGUGGAGCCCAAUAACUUUUAAUAAAUGGCAACAUUUCAUCAUAUGCAGCAUUCUAUUAAUUAAGGUGUUGAUAGUGAUUGAAUAGUUUUAUCCUCUUCUGUAUGUCUUAUAACUAUAUCAUGUCACUGUAUAAUUAUAAGUCUUAUAAUACACAAGAGCCAUGAAUAUCCUGUAACUUAUAUCCUUAUUAGCAGUGCUUGUGUGAUGUCAUUGGUUAUAAUCGGUGUGUAGUGAUGUAAUUUCUGUCACAUGACUCGUUGAAACUUUUGUAAUACAAUAAAUAAUGUACCCCCUGUGAUAAAAUAUGAGGAUAUUAGAAGUUACCUUAGCAUUCCAUGACCUGUAAGAAAGCACUCGCCUUCAGGUUUGCACUUUUAUAUAGACAUGGACGCCUCUGAGAAUUAUGACAUCCUUAUAUUUUACAAUAGGACGUAUAUUAUUUACUAUAAAACAGCUAAAUAGCAAGGCAAGGUUUAAUAUUCAUAUUCAAAUCAACAUUGUGCAUCAUGCUGAGCCUGUGGCUGUAAAUAAUUGUAACUAAAAUCCUCUUUUUUCAUAAAACGAAGAAUCACGUUUUUCAUCAAAAGUCAAA